CUUUAUUUCAAUAGUGAGAUCAAGAUUUAUAUGCUCACCCCUAGACUAGUCACAGAUAAAUAUUAAUGCAGAUGCCAUGAUGAGCCUAGGUUCCUGGGCCUGGGCACAUUGCCAGAAUAAGGAUAGAGUUAGCAAGGUUGGGAAGGACUGAUUGUUAUAUGAGUACCCAACUGUUUCAGCCACAGGAUCUGUAUAAAUUGAUUGCUGGCGUGUUCUCUUUGUUGCUCAGUCAGAGAGAUGCUGCCAGCUCCAUCGUCUUUAUUUUUAUAUUGGCGCCUGGAAGACUCACCUCAAAGAGAAGAGACUCUGAAGACAAUGAGAAGGGCAGUGUAGACCUUUACAAGAUGCAGGGACCUGGGGAAGAUGUUAUGAGACAAUUCACAGAAAACACCUAAACCACCAUGUGGUCUCUGAUUCAGAUUGCACAUUUCAUGGAAAUUUAUUUCAGCCUUGUCUCAUAACUGUGCAAGUCUAAAUGCUUCACUGAAAAUCUCUGAGUCUCGCAUGUAUACAGUGGGGUCAAAUCUGACCUACCUAGAAGCUUUGUAAAGAGGAUUAAAUAAAAG
rnacentral:lncRNA from 13 species